GGUCGAACUGGAAACGUCGGCGCCGCUCCCCGCAAAACCAGUGGGUACCUUGUAGAAGGGACUGGUGGAGAGUGGACAAGUACCCGCUGGUUUGCUUGGGGAGGUGUCCGUGUUACUUCUUCAUAUCU
rnacentral:precursor_RNA from 10 species